AAUGGGCGCAAGCCUGAACCAGCCAUCCCGCGUGCAGGAAGACGGCGCUAUGCGUUGUAAACUGCUUUUCCAGGGGGAGAAACUUGCGCACGUGUUGCGCAAUUGACGGUACCCUGGGAAUAAGCAUCGGCUAACUCCGUGCCAGCAGCCGCGGUAAUACGGAGGAUGCAAGCGUUAUCCGGAUUCAUUGGGUUUAAAGGGUGCGUAGGCGGACUAUUAAGUCAGUGGUGAAAUCCUGCAGCUUAACUGCAGAACUGCCAUUGAUACUGAUAGCCUUGAGUUUGGUUAAGGUAGGCGGAAUGUGUAAUGUAGCGGUGAAAUGCUUAGAUAUUACACAGAACACCAAUUGCGUAGGCAGCUUACUGAGCCGACACUGACGCUGAGGCACGAAAGCGUGGGGAUCGAA
rnacentral:rRNA from 1 species